rnacentral:misc_RNA from 1 species
AGGAGUCCUGACCUGGUGCUUCGGCGCCGAGGACAUCCGGUAGUCAACGCUCGCUGUCCAUUCCUGCCUGGUUUUCGAGGGCCGUGCCCUCCUGGCCGUCAGGCCAGAGUUCUUUCAAAGCUUGCAUGAAGUGGUGGUGUGAACCGUGGUGCCGAGACCGGCUCAUGGGGCAAGCCCUCGUGAGUUCGAUGUCUCGAGCGCAGUGGUGAUUCAAGCUACGAAGGGC